AGUUAUCCUCUCUCUCUAUGCUUCUGUCGCCGUCUCCAUCUCCAAAUUCGUUUUCCUAGAAGCUUACACGACAACUCUUGAUCAGCAGAACUAAACACGAAUUCUCUCUUUAUUUGGAGGAUUCAACUACAGGUUUUCGAGGUCACUGGUUCGUACUUUUUCCCUAUUUUUUUAUGAGAGUCUUGGAGAUGUUCUUCAUAGUUAUCACAGUAGGAGCUUUCUUCUUUUGGAAUUUUAAAUGAGCGUACCUGGAUAUCCUAUGUGUGAAUUCUGUAGGAAUCCAUUCUAUUCUAUGGUGAUAAUGAAUUACUCACAUGUCUACGAAGCAUUACACAUGUCAUUUUUGUCAAAGGAUUUGGAUGAAAGUUUGCUGCUAAGUUUGCUCUGAUGGAUGUAAUGUCUUUAAAGCGAUCAUGAAGAAGACCAAAGGAGAUGAUACACUGGUUCCAGUUUUAUCAGCACAUUUAAGCAUCUUAUUGCACAUAAGCGGAAGAAGAAGCUGAACUUUAAGCUAAGGAUCAAGCUAGAAAGGCUAAACAUUUGGAAGAAAGACAUGUUAAACCUGGAAAUUAGUUGGAUACCCAUGAAAAAUUCUAAUUGGUGUUGCCACUAGAUCUAGAAGAUAAACAAGGCGUAGCAUGCUCAGAAGGGUUUGAAUCCUUCCUGGUCAAGAGUCCCUAAAGGUAGGGUUUAGGGUUUAGCGAUCCGUGUUUAGAAGGUGCACCUUGGAAUGGAUGUUUAGAAGGUGCACCUUGGAAUGGAGGUUAGCCAAAUGCGUCAGUGAUGACAUCUUCAAUAUCAGUUUUCUAAUAUGUUCAUCAUAAUUAUCAUAGUAGUUAUCUCACGAGAUCUAAGAUGUAAGGAGAAAGAUGUAGUGAAAAAGUGCAAGUUCUAUAUGGGAAUUCAACAACUCUGUUCUACAGAUUUUGGAAGCUGGAGUGAAGUAUAUCCUCAUGGCAAUUUGUUUUUGUUUAGCUCUAAACACAAACCAGAGAUAGAGAGAAGCUGUUGGUGCAGUGGCUAUAUAUAUGCUCAAGAGUAUUCCACAUGUUUGCUUCUAAUAUUUAAACCUUACGUUGAAAAGGUGUAAGAUAUUGGAGGAACAAGUUUGAGAAAUUGUCUGACUAAAUCGAAUCUGAAGAAGAUUGUUUGGUCGAUUCGGUAUUGGGUUUGUUUAUUAGCCGAGACGAAGUAUAUUAUCGGGACGCCUCUUCUUGGAGGCAAAAGUUGAAGACCCGUGCUGUCAAGGUUUGAUGAGCAAAUGGGAUCAGUUGAAGCCAUUUACGCAAAAAGUUGUUUCAUGAUGCCAUUUGCAUGGCGGUGCUAAUUCAAGAAGUCAUAUGUGGCGAUUAUGCUUUUGUCAUCCACACAAA